ACAGUCUUUCAGGAUGUCUGAAAGGGGCAAGUCUGUUUGUGUGGGGCUGGGGAGCUGUGCUUUGGAAAAGCAAUGAGGAGGUAACAGGAAGUCUCUUCUCCUUCUAAAUCCUGUGUUCAUGGAGGAGGGUGGGUUUUCUCCUCUUGAGAGGGAGUUACAUACAAGUUUAAGGGAAAAGAGUCUGAAGUUUCCACCUAAAUGAUUCUGAAAGAAUCAGGUUAAGAAGCAAAUCUGUUCCGAUGUGAUGCCAACUAAGUACAUGAUCUGAUUGUUCCAGUUAUCCUGUGCCAAAAAGAAGCAAAAAAUGGGCUUUCCACGGAUUAUUGAACACGGUGUCAGUGUGCCUGAGAAACAAGCCUCUAUUAAAAGCUUUCUAGGCAAUUUGAA
rnacentral:lncRNA from 1 species